ensembl:lncRNA
UCUGGCACAGGCUGGCUCGGUGCUGGUGGGGCUGACACGGAGGGAUCCAUCCUCCAUCAGCUCCUCCGCCCUUGAUCUGCUCUUGAUGGGACACUGAAGUGCUCUUGCUUCCCCAGGAGAUGCUGCUCACAGUGGUCAGAAAGCCAAACAGAUCCUAAGUGAGUCUGCCCCAACAUUACCUCCUGCUCAUCAGGUUGGUGCAGAGGACUGAUAGCUCUGGCAGAUCGGAGGGCUUGUUAUCAGAAAUAAAGCUUGUUUUAAGGCUGCAGAGCAAUGCAUGCCUUGACCUUCCUGUCUGAAUGCUGAAUGCCUUUGGCCAAAACCAGGUGCUCUGUUACUGUUCAGCGCUGAAUGCCCUCAGCCAGGCUCUGCUGU